AAGCUCCAGCUUGCUGGGGUGGAUGAGUGGCGAACGGGUGAGUAACACGUGAGUAACCUUCCCUUGACUCUGGGAUAAGCCCGGGAAACUGGGUCUAAUACCGGAUAUGACCUCCUGUCGCAUGGUGGGGGGUGGAAAGAUUUAUCGGUCUUGGAUGGACUCGCGGCCUAUCAGCUUGUUGGUGAGGUAAUGGCUCACCAAGGCGACGACGGGUAGCCGGCCUGAGAGGGUGACCGGCCACACUGGGACUGAGACACGGCCCAGACUCCUACGGGAGGCAGCAGUGGGGAAUAUUGCACAAUGGGCGCAAGCCUGAUGCAGCGACGCCGCGUGAGGGAUGACGGCCUUCGGGUUGUAAACCUCUUUCAGUAGGGAAGAAGCCUUCGGGUGACGGUACCUGCAGAAGAAGCGCCGGCUAACUACGUGCCAGCAGCCGCGGUAAUACGUAGGGCGCGAGCGUUAUCCGGAAUUAUUGGGCGUAAAGAGCUCGUAGGCGGUUUGUCGCGUCUGCCGUGAAAGUCCGGGGCUUAACCCCGGAUCUGCGGUGGGUACGGGCAGACUAGAGUGCAGUAGGGGAGACCGGAAUUCCUGGUGUAGCGGUGAAAUGCGCAGAUAUCAGGAGGAACACCGAUGGCGAAGGCAGGUCUCUGGGCUGUUACUGACGCUGAGGAGCGAAAGCAUGGGGAGCGAACAGGAUUAG
rnacentral:rRNA from 1 species